GGCAAGAGCUCAGAUUUGAAAUCGUGUUUCGGCACGAGUUGUAGAGUGUAGGCGGGAGUCUCUGUGGAGCGCGGUGUCCAAGUCCCUUGGAACAGGGUGCCUGAGAGGGUGAGAGCCCCGUAGGGUGCUGCGCGAAGCUUUUGAGGCCCUGCUGACGAGUCGAGUUGUUUGGGAAUGCAGCUCCAAGCGGGUGGUAAAUUCCAUCUAAGGCUAAAUAUUGGCGAGAGACCGAUAGCGAACAAGUACUGUGAAGGAAAGAUGAAAAGCACUUUGAAAAGAGAGUGAAACAGCACGUGAAAUUGUUGAAAGGGAAGGGUAUUGGGCUCGACAUGGGGGGUGCGCACCGCUGUCUCUUGUAGGCGGCGCUCUGGGCGCCCUCUGGGCCAGCAUCGGUUCCUGCUGCGGGAGAAGGGGCUCCGGAAAGUGGCUCUUCGGAGUGUUAUAGCCGGGGCCAGAUGCCGCGUGUGGGGACCGAGGACUGCGGCUUCUGUCUCGGAUGCUGGCAUAACGGCGCAAUACCGCCCGUCUU
rnacentral:rRNA from 1 species